AUACGGAGGGUCCAAGCGUUAUCCGGAAUCAUUGGGUUUAAAGGGUCCGCAGGCGGUCAAUUAAGUCAGAGGUGAAAACCCAUCGCUCAACGAUGGAGCUGCCUUUGAUACUGGUUGACUUGAGUUAUACGGAAGUAGAUAGAAUAAGUAGUGUAGCGGUGAAAUGCAUAGAUAUUACUUAGAAUACCGAUUGCGAAGGCAGUCUACUACGUAUAUACUGACGCUGAGGGACGAAAGCGUGGGGAGCGAACAGGAGUAGAAACCCCGGUAGUCC
rnacentral:rRNA from 1 species